UACGUAGGGGGCUAGCGUUGUCCGGAAUCAUUGGGCGUAAAGCGCGUGUAGGCGGCCCGGUAAGUCCGCUGUGAAAGUCGGGGGCUCAACCCUCGGAUGCCGGUGGAUACUGUCGGGCUAGAGUACGGAAGAGGCGAGUGGAAUUCCUGGUGUAGCGGUGAAAUGCGCAGAUAUCGGGAGGAAUACCAGUGGCGAAGGCGGCUUCCUGGCCUGUUCUUGACGCUGAGGCGCGAAAGCUAGGGUAGCAAACGGG
rnacentral:rRNA from 1 species